rnacentral:lncRNA from 1 species
AGAAUGUAGGUCCAACUUUUUUUUUUCCUUGUUUGACCAGCCUUGGCACUGCCCUCUGCCUCUCCAGAGGGAAAGCUGCAGUUCUGCUUCUGCAACACAAGGAGCAGACUGGAGAAUUUAGAUCUGCGUCACAGCGCUCAGAGAGAGAGAGAGAGAGAGAGAGAGAGAGAGAGAGAGAGAGAGAGAGAGAGAGAGAGAGAGAGAGAGAGAGGAGGGGGAGAGGGGAGAGAGACAGAGGAGAGAGAGGGAUAGAAGAGAGAGGGGGGAGGAGACAGGAGAAGGGGGGGAGAGAGAGAGAAGGAGAGAGAGAGCCAGCAUGAGCAUACAAGCUGUCGAUAGGUCUGCUAGCAGCAGCCGUGCUGCAGCGGAGAGAAAAAUCAAGAAACAAGUCAUAGCAACACUGGGCACCAGGUUCUGCCAAGCGUUCAGAAAUCUGUUGGGUGUCCAGAGGCCUCUGGGUAGCCUAGGCUAAGAUGUCACGCAAGGUGGCACAGGCAGUUCCCAUGGGGAGUACGUGGGAACGGGUGGGGGCAGGAGUGAGUACAAGAGUUGGUAGGGUGGCAGUGGAAGGCUUAAUCAGAGUGGAUUCUGGAACAUUCAGGACUGCGGCACCUUGUAUCUGGACAGGGAUUUGGGACUGUGCAGGAGACGACUGGUGGUCCAGUGUGGCUUAAGGACUUGAUGGCGUAACCCACUUCUUCCACGGAGGAGACUGGGGAGAUGGAUUUGAAGAGGAUUGAACAAAUUGGAAGAAAAUAUUUGUCCUCUGCUUUGGUGUCAGAAAAGGGAAUUUUCCAAUCUGCCACACCUCAGUGUUGCGGCAAAAAUAAUUCUUGGCUCCCCUGGAAACUAUCGGGCAAGGUAGGGCAGAACUGCUGCUGCUGUCGCCAUUACCCUGGGCUUCCUAUUGAAUGGGCUGCUCCCAAGUGAACAGAUCUGCGUUGAUGCUCUGGUCGUCCAAAAGUCCUCAAAUCAGCUCUGAGCUGAGCCCACUAUUGGAAGAAUCUGCCUUUUGGAAGUUGACGCUACCUUGUGCUUGGGAAGAUUUGGCUCAAGCACUCUUUCCCUGCCUGGAGACUUAUUGGGGAUGUAAAAUGAGAGAAUAGCAGGUGACCAGCAAAUUAGGGGAGGAUUAAAUACUUCCAAGUUGUCACAGCAAGAAGAAAGAGGAAUAUCUCAGGAGUUUGACCUCAAGCCUACAAAGUGGUGGUAUUCUACCAAGAUGUCUGUAUGCUUCAUGAUGCUGUUGAGUCCUGUGGGAGGAGAAUCUGAGCACCCUGAUGCCCCUUAUCCCCAAUACUGCACUGUGGAGCUGAGAGUGACAACAGCCAGUGAGUCCUUUGUCAACGGCAAUCUGGGCCCUGGUGACGGCUGCUUUGUUUUCUUGUGUUCUCUCUCUCUCUCUCUCUCUCUCUCUCUCUCUCUCUCUCUCUCUCUCUCUCUCUCUCUCUCUCUCUCUCUCUCUCUCCCCCCAUGUGUGUGUGUGUGUGUGUGUGUGUUUCCUUUUUUUCCUCUUUAGAAGAUGACUCAGUGUAUCUGGAGUCAGAAGAUGGAGCUCUCAGCUGAACAGCCAGAAUAUUCUGACAACAUGAAAGCAAUAAAAACAGCUCAUUGGUGCUCUGGGCUGAUUCUCUGACUUCAGUCAUUUUUACUGAAGGCGGGAUAGUGAGAAGGCCACUGCUGGGCUUCAGAGAUGGGGAGACAUGAGGCACCUCACAAGAGCCCUGAGACCCUUGGAUUUUGAAUUUAGAGACAAGAAGGCUGGUUAUAUUAUUUAGUGAGCUUAGAAAACAGUGCCCUUUUCUUUUCUCUUCUUCUCUCCCCCACCCCCCACCUCCUUCUUUUUCUUUUUUGUUUUAAAGAAUUCUUCUCACAGGUCCUCAGUGAUAGACUUAUUUCCAGAGCCAGAUACCCCUUUGGUAUUUCUCAGUGGAUCUGUCUGUGAUAGGCGUGUUGGUCUUAUUGAGGGUAACUCCUACUUCCCAAGAGUGGGCAAGAAGACCCCCCAUGACAGUGACGCUAUAGUCUCCUGGAGUAGAUGCUCCAAUGGAGGCAUGAUGCCUGAAUACCCUUCAUCUUUUGAGCUUGGAUGUGGUCUGCCUCACUUGCCCUAACCUGAAGGCAGCUCCCCAGUCUCAGCUUCCCCUUUCCUUGUGCUGGCAUGUCAGAGCUUACUCUUUUCCUUUCAUCUUCCUUAUUUCCUCCAAAAUGAGUUCUCCCCACACCUUCUCCCUGCCCCUUUAGCACAUUAUCAUGGAAACUCUGGGUUCUAGGCUUUUCCUGCAGCAUUGCACUAAAGACACAUGAUCCCCUGCCAUACCUAUCAUACCUUCAUUGCAAUUGUAUCCUGGACAAACUAUUGCCUUUUCUCUCUGCCAUCCUUGGCACAGUCUAGGGUGAGGAUCAAACAAUUUAAGUUUGGGGAUAGGAGACAUCCUGGCCCUCACCUCCAUCCAGACUUUUGCCAGGAACCAUUUUUAAUUCCUAUAUUUUCUAGCACUAAUUUUAAGGUAGACAUUUGCCGCCAAAGCACCUCCUCUCCCAAAGGGCCACCUAAAAUGACUCAUUUGGUAUUUCUUGGAGGUGCAUCUCUUGGGCCUGAGAACAAAUGGUGGCCAGGAAAUAUGACUGAGGUCACAGCAGAGUAGAGAAGAGCAGGCAUAAGAACUAGCUGUCUAUACCCACAGUCUAGACCCACCAAAAGUGUCUGAAGCCCUUAGAUUUUGUGUCUGAGUAGAGAGCAUUUUGGCUAGUAAGGCUGCAUUAGUGUAGAAGUUGGGAACUUGGGGACCAUACUUCUAGGUUCUGAGCUUUGCGUAUGAUGAAAGCCUAGCUACCAUGCUUCAGAGAACUCUGUUGUCUCAUGUUCACUUGUCAAAGCCAUGGUAGAUAGGCACUCCUGGGUCAGAACUU